AAAUGCUGAACACUUCCCUCAGUUCCAUGCCAUAAAAACAGUGAAUAGGAGCUCAUUAGCCUACAGCAGUUCCCAUUGUAAUCACAUUAUAUUCAUGCAGAGAAAAUUGCCUGCCUGAACAGUAAGACCUUCAUAGUGUUUAACAAUAGUUGGAUGAUUCCUGCCAUUUCUGCAACAUGGAUCUCUUCGGAUUUUUUUCAAUACAGAGAGGAUCAAGCAUAGACUGCAAUUGAUGGAAAAUGUAUGUUAAGCCUCAUCAUCAGACCUCUAAAGGAGAUUCCAUGUCCACUCCAGUUUUGAUACACGAACAUAGUCUAUAGAAGUGUCUUCAGCUCUUUCAAAAUGUAUUUUUUUUUCUCUAUCUACUGUGUCUCAUUACUUCUCCAACUUCUCUGUGAGAGAGCUCAGAAUAAGAAGAAAAUACUUUUAAGUAUGGCAAAUUCAGGAAGAAGUAGGAAAUACCCCUGCCAAAUUUAAGGAUGACAUCAAACCAGUGCCAUACAGAAGGUCCUGAACAGACUGAAUGAAUGAACCUUGUGAAACCGAGCAAUUUCAAAUGCCAAGUACUCGAGGGAAGGAGAAGCCCCUGCAAUGUUGUGUUAGGCACAGCACUGCUAACUGGUCAAUGAAAAUGGCUCUCCUGGACUCUGGGUAUGUGUACAGAAUGAGUAUGAGAGGCUGGAGAGCAGCUCCAAGGGAAGAGAUCUGGGGGUUCUGAGUGAUGAAAGUUGAACAAAAAUCAGCAGUGAGCCCUGGACAGCCAAAAGGGCCAAGCACAUCUUGAGCCAGUGUAGUUGAGUUAAUAUCAUUUAAAAAUAAUGCAGGAGAUAUUUAAAGCACAUCAGAAGUACAGAGGACUCUUUUUGCAAGUUGAUACCUUCAAAGAAUCCCAAAUCCCUCAAAAGUGAAUUAUAUGGUAUAAAUAAGGUCAGAUAAGAGGCAAUAAAGACUGGUUUUAAUCAUUUAGGAAGAACAGUGUCAGAUGAAGAAAGAAAAAGUUGCUAUUAUGGAUGGUCCUGCUUCAGCACAAGUGAAACAAACAAAACAAUAGCAACCAAAAACACAUAGAGAAAUCCAAACAUCUCUGUGGAGAAAAUGACCAGAUUGACAGUUUUUAGGUAACAGGAGUCCUGAAUAAUGGGGAGUCACAGAAAAACGUCAUGAUCUUCUGUUAAUUUUAUAAUGAAACAGAAUGAUAGUAGGUUAUGUUAUGUUUGGAAGGCUUUCUUAAUUUGCCUGUGCUUCUAUUAUUUGAGAACAUAAACUACAAACUUCCUCCAUUCUAUCAUUGUUUUGUUUUCUUUUCCAUUCCAGCUCUGAGUGUAAUAUUGAUGUGCAUGUCUUGCUUUGUCAUAGAACAAAUAUAAAUUUAUGGACAAUUAAAUCAAAUUUCUGGAAUGG
ensembl:lncRNA